AUGCAGCAGCCGUUUAGUAACUCAGAAGCUGUGAAGAUGUGCAUGGUGGGGCCUGAUGCCCCUCUUAGCAGCCACAUAAAAUAUGGCCCCAAACCCCCCUAUGCUGUAGGAAAGCCAAGAGAAAGGCCAUACUCAGCUCCAGCAAGGCGAAUCACAAAUAGUAAUUUUUCUGAUCCCUGGAGAGGUCCAAGUUAUCAAGAACCGAGAGUGGCCAUGCCAAGGAGUUACCAGAAAGUUAUAAACCGACCAACAGAGGAGAGACCAUCUUAUAUGUCCAGGAGAAUAGAGUCGGUGUACAGUCGGAAUGGUGACGUCAGGUCCAGCAUUCCCCUCCCCCCGUACCAUGCCAUGAACGACCCACAUCUUUAUGAAUACUUUGAAAGAAGAUUUGGGCAAAUUCAAACAGCAGCAAGAAGGAAGCGCCCCAUCUCAGCUCCCUCUGUUGCCUCCUCCACAACUAGAGGUAAAAAGAAAAAGCACGAAGAUGAUGUACUGUAUAAGAUUGCCAUUAUCACAGCUGACAAAAAGGAUGCCGGCACAGAUGCUAAGGUUUUCCUCACAGUGAAAGGACUGAGGGGUAAAAUUCCAAAAACAAGACUUACAAAAAAAGCAGGAUCAACUGAUGGUAUACAAAAGGAGCAAGCCUGGUUCUUACAGGAAGUAGAAAUCACCAAUGUAAAGAGGAAGAAAAGCUGGUCAUUUGUCUGCAACAAUUGGCUGUCUUUACAUCAUGGGGAUCAACAAACAACCAGGGAAUUGUUCCCAAAUAUCUUCAUCAAAAACAGACAAAACUCUAGUGAUACCUUUAAGAUCAGAACCAACUGUGUGGGGCCCAUGAAGAAAAUUAAAGUGGAACAUGACAAUACUGGACUUGGUGCUGGAUGGUAUCUAGAAAGGGUUGUCAUUACUGAUCUGAACCACCCAAAUGGAAGUACUAUUUUCCCUGUGGAAUGUGGCUGGCCAGAGAUGAAGGUGAUGGGGCUAUUUCCAGGUACCUCAUUGGCAGCAAAGAUCCAUUUGCUAUCAGAAAAG
rnacentral:sRNA from 1 species